UACGUAGGGUGCGAGCGUUAAUCGGAAUUACUGGGCGUAAAGCGCGCGUAGGCGGUGAUCCAUGUCAGAGGUGAAAGCCUGGGGCUCAACUCCAGAAUUGCCUUUGAAACGGGAUCGCUAGAGUCCGAGAGAGGAUGGCGGAAUUCCUAGUGUAGAGGUGAAAUUCGUAGAUAUCAGGAGGAACACCUGCGGUGUAGACGGCUUACUGGACCAUAACUGACGCUGAGGCACGAAAGCGUGGGUAGCAAACAGG
rnacentral:rRNA from 1 species